AUUGAACGCUGGCGGCAUGCCUUACACAUGCAAGUCGAACGGCAGCACGGGAGCAAUCCUGGUGGCGAGUGGCGAACGGGUGAGUAAUAUAUCGGAACGUGCCCAGUCGUGGGGGAUAACGCAGCGAAAGCUGUGCUAAUACCGCAUACGAUCUAUGGAUGAAAGCGGGGGAUCGCAAGACCUCGCGCGAUUGGAGCGGCCGAUAUCAGAUUAGCUAGUUGGUGGGGUAAAGGCCCACCAAGGCGACGAUCUGUAGCUGGUCUGAGAGGACGACCAGCCACACUGGAACUGAGACACGGUCCAGACUCCUACGGGAGGCAGCAGUGGGGAAUUUUGGACAAUGGGCGCAAGCCUGAUCCAGCAAUGCCGCGUGCAGGAUGAAGGCCUUCGGGUUGUAAACUGCUUUUGUACGGAACGAAACGGUCCUUUCUAAUACAGGGGGCUAAUGACGGUACCGUAAGAAUAAGCACCGGCUAACUACGUGCCAGCCGCCGCUGUAAUAC
rnacentral:rRNA from 1 species